GAACACACUCCUGCAAACAGGAGUACACGCUCAGAUAAAGUAUAUUUUGUUAUCUGAAUUGCUUUCUGAAAGAAGAAAUUACACAAGAGGAACCCGCCAGGGACAGGCUCGUUCCCAGGAUUGGCCGAGGGGAGGUUCGCAGUCAUAGACUCCGGCGGUAGCAGAAAGACGAGGAGAGCUAGAACGGCGAUGAGUACGCAAGGCAGAAUGAAGUUCAUCGUGUAGAACAAUGUGCGCCUGUGCAACUCAAGAACGUACGUCACUUCCGGAAACUCGCUCUCACAACAGCCGUAUUUCUUCAACUUCCGAUUAGCAGUGUCUUCGAACGGGUGGACAUCCAUGUAGCGUAGGGAGGUGGACCAGGAGCCAAACCUUAACUCACAUGCCUGGUUGUCGAAUGGGAAGUGCGCAAUGUCCAUACCACAAGAAGUGUGGAGUAUUAGGGGAUUCAUCCAUAACACCUCGCCCGCGCUGUUGAUGAAGAGUCGAAUGUUUUUCUCUCUCAGAUCCAUAUCCUUGUUUGCGCUGAAAAGCAGAUUAACGGAUUAUUAAAUGUACGCAAUUUAUUCAACAUGCGAAGUGGUAGGCGAGGUUCUUUUAUUAAGCCAAUACAUCUUCAAAUCAUAAGUUUCCUUUUGUUUUGUUCUGCUCCCAUUUUUCUUCACUCUCCGCCUACAUCCUCGCCUUAUUUUUCCAUUAACCCACGGUAUAACCAAACUAAAAAACUUUGUCCAUGUCCGAAUCUUCUUGCGUGAUUUUAUUUUUGACGACUGGUGAAUAUUUCGUGCUAACUUGAUUCCAUUAGAACUGGUGACAGUACAUAGAACAGCAAAAAAGGGGCUUUGAAAGCCUGAAAAGAAAAAUUUUAAAAA